rnacentral:rRNA from 1 species
UAGGGAAUCUUCCGCAAUGGGCGAAAGCCUGACGGAGCAACGCCGCGUGAGUGAUGAAGGUCUUCGGAUCGUAAAACUCUGUUAUUAGGGAAGAACAAAUGUGUAAGUAACUAUGCACGUCUUGACGGUACCUAAUCAGAAAGCCACGGCUAACUACGUGCCAGCAGCCGCGGUAAUACGUAGGUGGCAAGCGUUAUCCGGAAUUAUUGGGCGUAAAGCGCGCGUAGGCGGUUUUUUUAGUCUGAUGUGAAAGCCCACGGCUCAACCGUGGAGGGUCAUUGGAAACUGGAAAACUUGAGUGCAGAAGAGGAAAGUGGAAUUCCAUGUGUAGCGGUGAAAUGCGCAGAGAUAUGGAGGAACACCAGUGGCGAAGGCGACUUUCUGGUCUGUAACUGACGCUGAUGUGCGAAAGCGUGGGGAUCAAACAGG